UACGGGGGGAGCAAGCGUUGUUCGGAUUUACUGGGCGUAAAGGGCGCGUAGGCGGCGUGACAAGUCACUUGUGAAAUCUCCGGGCUUAACUCGGAACGGUCAAGUGAUACUGUCGUGCUAGAGUACAGAAGGGGCAACUGGAAUUCUCGGUGUAGUGGUGAAAUGCGUAGAUAUCGAGAGGAACACCUGCGGCGAAGGCGGGUUGCUGGGCUGAUACUGACGCUGAGGCGCGAAAGCCAGGGGAGCAAACGGG
rnacentral:rRNA from 1 species